rnacentral:rRNA from 1 species
GGAAUCUUAGACAAUGGGCGCAAGCCUGAUCUAGCCAUGCCGCGUGGACGAUGAAGGCCUUAGGGUUGUAAAGUCCUUUCAGCUGGGAAGAUAAUGACGGUACCAGCAGAAGAAGCCCCGGCUAACUCCGUGCCAGCAGCCGCGGUAAUACGGAGGGGGCUAGCGUUGUUCGGAAUUACUGGGCGUAAAGCGCACGUAGGCGGAUUAUUAAGUGAGGGGUGAAAUCCCAGGGCUCAACCCUGGAACUGCCUCUCAUACUGGUAGUCUUGAGUUCGAGAGAGGUGAGUGGAAUUCCGAGUGUAGAGGUGAAAUUCGUAGAUAUUCGGAGGAACACCAGUGGCGAAGGCGGCUCACUGGCUCGAUACUGACGCUGAGGUGCGAAAGCGUGGGGAGCAAACAGGAUUAGAAACCCUGGUAGUCC